rnacentral:lncRNA from 1 species
ACAGGAUUGUUGGCAACGUUCCCUCUCACUCUUUCUCUUUAUUCCUGCUAUUAGUGUUUCAAAAUAGUUUAUACAAUGAAAAAACAACUUAAAAAGAAGUCAUUUUCCUGAGGCAGGGAACAUUGUCUCUUUGAGUCCUGAGCCACCAGGUGCCCUGCUGGAGAGAUCACAAUGAGACUAUCUAGAGGGGGAGAGGGACCCAGAUGAAGCCAGCUUUCCAGCCAUUUCUGUCAAGGCUCAAGGCAUGUGCGUGAAGCCAUGUGAAUACCACUGAGUGACCUCAGUUGACUCCCUGUGGAGCAGAAGGACUGCCUAGCCUAGCCCUGACUGGAUUCUGGACUCAUAAAAUUAUAGAUGAAAUACAGAAUGUCCAGUUCCCCAGCAGACAGCUGUCAACCCUGAUGGCUUGGAAUGGGAUCCAUGGAUAUAACUCUGGAGAAGUGGACAUGGCACAGUAUUUUAUUCCAAAGAUAGCGGAGAGCCAAGGGAAGGGUUUAAGCGGGUUAAACAAAC